rnacentral:lncRNA from 1 species
UUGGUCGAUCAAUCCUUGGUUUUGAUGAUUAACAAACCAAAAUGUAGAUUUGGGCUAAUGUUUUUAUGUGAGUAAUUUGUUAGAACAGAUUCUUGUGGCACAAAAGAAGAAGCAAAAAAAGGGCACUCAUGUCGGACGCUAUCGGACGUCCGAAAGGAUGAAGAACAUCAAGAAGGAAACUCUGUCGGACGCACAUCGAUCGCAUCGGACGUCCGAGAAAUUUCGCAAAGAUUUGAUGACUCUCUGACGACGUUCGGACGCAGGGUUCGGACGUCCGACAGGUGGUUUGGACGCAGGGUUCGG